GCGGAUGUGGCGUAAUUGGUAGCCGCGCCAGACUUAGGAUCUGGUGUUGAAAGACGUGGGGGUUCGAGUCCCUUCAUCCGCA
rnacentral:tRNA from 1 species